rnacentral:rRNA from 1 species
AUGGAGGGCCCGUUCAAGGGCCACCCUCCGCACGGCUGUCGCAUCGAGUUCUUCGGCGUCCGUGUCUUCCACGUCGAUGAAGACACCAAGGUGGAGAAGGCAGAGUUCUUCUACGAGCGUGGCAACUUCCUCGCAAGCUUUCUUGUCUGCGCCUACUACUUCUGCUUCUGCUGCAUCGGCUUUAGGUUGCCCUGUGACGAGAGGAGACUAAAGCGCGACGGAAUCGACGAAACAUGCUUGUCACUAGCUAGUAUUGUCUUCAGGCUCUCUCUCUCUCUCUUGGGAGGACGCCGCCCUUCCUCUGCUCCCUGUCCAAGCAAGCGAGCUCUGGAUCCACCCCCACAACCACGACAUCGGCACCGGCACCGGAGGCCGUGGAGAUGCAGCUCCGUCGCGCAGUCAUCGAGCCAAGGUACUCACUCCCCUCUUCCUUUUGCUUCGCUCAUGGGUCAUCAAAUUUGCUUGCUACAGAAACAUUAG